rnacentral:rRNA from 1 species
AGAGUUUGAUCCUGGCUCAGGACGAACGCUGGCGGCGCGCCUAACACAUGCAAGUCGAACGAGCGAGAGAGAGCUUGCUUUCUUGAGCGAGUGGCGAACGGGUGAGUAACGCGUGAGGAACCUGCCUCAAAGAGGGGGACAACAGUUGGAAACGACUGCUAAUACCGCAUAAGCCCACAGGUCGGCAUCGACCAGAGGGAAAAGGAGCAAUCCGCUUUGAGAUGGCCUCGCGUCCGACUAGCUAG